CCGAAUUCUCACCGCCUCUUCCUCUAGCGAUUGAUGCCACUCCGACCACCAUCCCUUCUGUUCCCGGGUUGCCGCUUCGGUUGUUAGCAGCCUCUUGGUUGCUCCCGAUGGUGGUGAUGGGCGCUCCUUCUCCUCCGGCUAUAGCUGUAGCCGCACGACCCCCUCUGUACGGCACCGACGAAGAAUGGUUCUUAGCUUUCUUCUCCUGCCACCACUCCGGGUAUCCAUGGAGUUCGAAGCAUGUCUCGCGUGUGUGAUUUUUCUUUCCAAAGUGAGAGCACACUAGCUUCGAUUUGUCCUCCUCCGGUCGUCUGCUCUAAUUUCCACCAUUUCCACCGCCGCUUCGUUGAGUGGGGUUCCGGUGCGCUGCCAGAUUCGGCCAUGGCUGAGUCACAGCUAGCCCGGCGCCGAUUCCUUGAGUGCUGACGGAGUCUCUCGACUGCAGGAUAUUAGAUCUGGCAUCUUCUCGCCGGAGGAUGGAGUAUGCGACAUCCACGGAGGGAAGUGGUUCGGUUCUGAGGAUCUCAUUUUUGAUGCCUUCGUAUUUGCUGCUUAGGGCUACCAACAAUUGAAAUAAUCUCUGUUCUUGUUUCUCAGUAUUGUCGUACACUUGAAUUUUAUCGCCUCCACUAGCGUAGGUGAUCUCCAGACUGCUCCAUAUGUAUCUGGCCGUCGGGUAUUGAGACAUACGGCUGACUAAUUUCGAUUCCAUGUUGUAACCACAUGAAAACACAGUGGUCCUGCUGCUGCCACGUUCUUUGCCGGAGGGGAUGAGACUCCAUUGAUGUGAAUGAUCAUUCCCCUCCCACUAAUUGUCGCCUUCAUAAGGACAACCCAAAGAGGGUAGUUUUCAGUUUUCACCGUUUAAUCAUUCUGAGAUUACUAACGACGAGGAGUCAAUCCUGUAGGCUUCUGGUUUCGGUUCUGGAGGAUUUGUGGGUAUUAUUUGUUGUUGGUUGUGCGCUAUUGUUGUGCGCAUCAGUUCGGCAAACAUUCGAGCAAAUUGCUCUAUUCCGAUGGCUUUGGUGGUUCGUUGUUAUCUGACAUUUUGCUGGUUUUGACAGGAUUCUGUCGGAUUUUGGUUUAGAGGGUUCGAGAUUGGUCCGAGACAGUGAUGAGACUACUCUGAGUUUCACCCCUACUCUGAUACCAUCUUGAAUUAUGUAUCAGGCAUGGUUUAUAGUUUAGGAUGGAGAAGUUGUAGAGGGAAGAGUAUGAUUGAUAAUUCCUUGAUUAUUUUUUUUCAAUAAUAUAACACUCUUAGUA